CCUACGGGAGGCAGCAGUAGGGAAUAUUGCGCAAUGGGGGAAACCCUGAAGCAGCAACGCCGCGUGGAGGAUGAAGGUUUUCGGAUUGUAAACUCCUUUUGUUAGAGAAGAUAAUGACGGUAUCUAACGAAUAAGCACCGGCUAACUCCGUGCCAGCAGCCGCGGUAAUACGGAGGGGGCAAGCGUUACUCGGAAUCACUGGGCGUAAAGGGCGCGUAGGCGGGAUAGCAAGUCAGAUGUGAAAUCCUAUGGCUUAACCAUAGAACUGCAUUUGAAACUGUUAUUCUAGAGUAUGGGAGAGGUAGGUGGAAUUCUUGGUGUAGGGGUAAAAUCCGUAGAGAUCAAGAGGAAUACUCAUUGCGAAGGCGACCUGCUAGAACAUAACUGACGCUGAUGCGCGAAAGCGUGGGGAGCAAACAGGAUUAGAUACCCGAGUAGUC
rnacentral:rRNA from 1 species